rnacentral:rRNA from 1 species
GACGAACGCUGGCGGCGUGCUUAACACAUGCAAGUCGAACGGAAAGGCCCUGCUUUUGUGGGGUGCUCGAGUGGCGAACGGGUGAGUAACACGUGAGUAACCUGCCCUUGACUUUGGGAUAACUUCAGGAAACUGGGGCUAAUACCGGAUAGGAGCUCCUGCUGCAUGGUGGGGGUUGGAAAGUUUCGGCGGUUGGGGAUGGACUCGCGGCUUAUCAGCUUGUUGGUGGGGUAGUGGCUUACCAAGGCUUUGACGGGUAGCCGGCCUGAGAGGGUGACCGGCAACAUUGGGACUGAGAUACGGCCCGGACUCCUACGGGGGGAAGCGGUGGGGAAUAUUGAACAAGGGGCGGAGGCUUGAUGCGGAAACGCCGCGUGCGGAAGGACGGCCUUCGGGUUGUAACCCGCUUUCGCCUGUGACGAGGCGUGAGUGACGGUAAUGGGUAAAGAAGCACCGGCUAACUACGU